GAUGAAGAACGUAGUGAAAUGCGAUAAGUAAUGUGAAUUGCAGAAUUCAGUGAAUCAUCGAAUCUUUGAACGCACCUUGCGCUCCUUGGUAUUCCGAGGAGCAUGCCUGUUUGAGUGUCAUUAAAUUCUCAACCUCACCAGUUUUGUAACGAGACAGGUGAAGGCUUGGAUGUGGGGGUUUUGCAGGCUGCCUCAGUGCUGGUCUGCUCUCCUGAAAUGCAUUAGCGAGCUCAUAUUGAGCUUCCGUCUAUUGGUGUGAUAAUUAUCUACGCCGUGGAUUGGACUCAUGCUUGCUUCUAGCCGUCCGCAAGGACAAUUUACUUGACCAAUUUGACCUCAAAUCAGGUAGGACUACCCGCUGAACUUAAGCAUAUCAAUAAGCGGAGGA
rnacentral:misc_RNA from 1 species